CCUACGGGUGGCAGCAGUGGGGAAUAUUGGGCAAUGGGCGCAAGCCUGACCCAGCAACGCCGCGUGAAGGAAGAAGGCUUUCGGGUUGUAAACCUCUUUUGUCAGGGAAGAGUAGAAGACGGUACCUGACGAAUAAGCCACGGCUAACGACGUGCCCGCAGCCGCGGAAAUGCGGAGGUGGCAAGUGUUGUCCGGAUUUACUGGGUGUAGAGGGCGUGUAGACGGGUAGACAAGUGUGAAGUGAAAUCCUGGGGCUGAACCACGGGACUGACUUGGAAACUGUGGAUCUGGAGUGGAGGAGAGGGAAGCGGAAGUCGUAGUGGAGCGGUGAAAGGUGUAGAGAGUAGGAGGAACAGCAGGGGCGAAGGAGGCUUACUGGACUGUAACUGACGUUGAGGCACGAAGGCGGGGGGAGCAAACAGGAGUAGAUACCCGGGUAGUC
rnacentral:rRNA from 1 species